GGGGAGGUGCCAGAGUGGUUGAAUGGGACCGCCUGCUAAGUGGUUGUCGGGUUAUAAGCUCGACCGAGGGUUCGAAUCCCUCCCUCCCCG
rnacentral:tRNA from 1 species